UUGACAGCCCUGAAGACUGAAGUCCUUUAUUUAUGCAUGAGCAGCAACAGUUCUGCCUUUCCCACACUGCCCUCCUGAUAUGCUUCACCCAUGACCUGAAGGAUCCCCUUUAAGGGUGACAGCUUAGUGGCCUUCGUACCCAUUCACUCUCCAGUCCUCU
rnacentral:sRNA from 1 species